UACGUAGGGUGCAAGCGUUAAUCGGAAUUACUGGGCGUAAAGCGUGCGCAGGCGGUUUUGUAAGUCUGACGUGAAAUCCCCGGGCUUAACCUGGGAAUUGCGUUGGAGACUGCAAGGCUGGAGUCUGGCAGAGGGGGGUAGAAUUCCACGUGUAGCAGUGAAAUGCGUAGAGAUGUGGAGGAACACCGAUGGCGAAGGCAGCCCCCUGGGUUAACACUGACGCUCAGGCACGAAAGCGUGGGGAGCAAACAGG
rnacentral:rRNA from 1 species